UCAGUUGGAUGAUACAGCACUCAAAAACACGUAAGCAUUAUUAUCUUCCAUCCUUCAUUGAAAAAGCCAUUGUCUUUUGUCGUUUCUAAUGAGCAAUAAUCCAGCAUUUGCAGGUGCAAGAUGAAGUUGUGUGGUCCUACAAUAAGAGAUUCUUAAUUGGAUAAGAGAUUUAGAUCCUUUUCAUCUAACAAACAAAACACACAACACACCUCACAAACCAAAACCAUGUGCUUUUUCUACUGCCUCUGGUUUUCCAUACAAACAAAACCAGUGUCUGUGUUUUCCACUGCCUAUAUCCCAUACUAUAUAUUAACAACAGCCUUCGCCCCAUUCAUUAUUCAUCUUCAACUCAUCAAUAUUCUCCAUAAACACAUCAAACUUUCUCACUACCUUGUUCUUACACACACACACACAGAAAAAAGGAGACUUUUAGCAUCGCUACUUUCAGUUGUUCAAGAGUCGAGAAUGAGUUCUACAAGUCGUGCUUGGACUUGGACCGUGGCAGCAAGUGUUGGAGUGGUGGAGGCCUUGAAGGACCAGGGCAUCUGCAGGUGGAACAGUGUUUUGAGAUCAGCACAGCAACAUGCUAAACAUAAUAUGAGAUCUUUGUCUCACACCAAGAAGCUUUCUUCUCAAUCAGCUGCCAUGGCUUCUGCGAAAUUCAAAGAUGAGAAAGCCAAGCAAUCAGAAGAGUCUUUGAGAACCGUCAUGUACUUGAGUUGCUGGGGUCCCAACUAAACAAAGAAUCAUGGGUUCUAUGCAAUUCUGGAUUUCCUUUCCCUUUUCUUCGAUCAUGAAGCGAAGGAAGAUAAAGAAAUGGAUCCAGAGUGUCAUCCAACAUGCUAUAUAUGCUUGCUUGAACUCAGCAUCUGUAUAGUAUGAAGCAUGCCAUUUAACUUGCUUCCUUGGAGAAAUGCGGAUUGAAUUUUGAAGACUGAAGCAAUGGCUUCUAAUUCGUGGCAAUAGCCUAAAUUCGGUGGAUCGAACCAUCAUUAAAUUAAAUGAGCACUUGUGACAGAACUAUGAAUGUAUAUAGAUUAAAGUGGGUCGAUUUUGCAAACUAAUAAUAAGAAAAAUGAAGUUGUUCUGCAACUAUUUACUAAGAUGCUUCUGUUUUUGUCAAAUUACUGUUGUUGUUUUAGUAUUUUGUUUCUCGUUAGUGUACAUAGUGGAAUUCUUCUGAGAACAGAAUCUAAAACUUGGUUUUUAGACCUUUCUGAACAAAAUCAUUUCUAGACACCUUAAUCAAGUCUACUUUACACACGGUGAAAGAAAGAUAAAAUAGAAAAAACGUAGGUAAUAUAGAAAAAAUAUAGGCUUAAUACCUCUAUUGGUCCUCUUAUUUGUUAACUAAUCUCAUUUUGGUCAUUCAGUUUGCAACAGUCUCAACACAUUCUAUUCCAUCCGUUAAGUGGUAGCAGACGGCGUUAAUUUGAGCUGACUUGUAUUUUUUUUUAUAUAUUUUAAAAUCAUUAAGUCCACGUGGAUUUUUUUCUUUUUCCGGUACCAGGGUUCUCCAUAUUCUUCAGCACCACCUCCUUCACCAAAAUUCUGGGUGGACCAUGACCCUCCUCACUCAUUUCCGAUUUCUCCAAAAUGAAUAUUCUCGAUCAAAUCCAAACCGAUGUGGACCCCUGUCCUUAUUUUAAUCAACCAAGAACCCUUCCAAACCCUAACGAAUUCUUUCUAUUAAUUUUCCUCCAGCAAUGCCAAAGAAGUAAUUUUGCACAGGUAUGACCACAAGAGUAAUUAAACCCAAACCCACAUAUAGAAGUGCCCAGAACCUAGAAUCUUUCCGCUGUUUUUUUGGAGGUUCAAAGAACAUAGUUAUUGCUGAGGAAAACAAGAAGCCAAAAAUAGGGAACACAAGACCAUGUAUUAUUGCAGCAACGGAUCCAAGCACUAAGACAGGAACUUCAGGCUUGUUUAAGUAGGCCAAACGUCUCAAAGAAACCUUUAUGGGCUUCUUAGCAUCAACUUUAUUUUUUUCAAAAUCCCCAUCUUCAUCUUCUACUUCUACAGAUUCAACAGAAAAGAAGAUUGAACCUCCUCACUUUCUGCCUCCGAGGAGAGUGGGGGGAGACCCUUCGGCUUUUAGGUGUGACAAUAGCAUUAUCUUGCAAGGGAGAGAUUCAAGCCACCCUUCCUGUCGUCGUCUUCUUCCAUGGUGGCGGCUUCACGUUCCUCUCCCCGGCCACGACCAAGUACGACGCUUUCUGCCACUCCCUGUGCUGCUCCAUCAACGCUGUCAUCAAACCUGCAGGGAAUCAGAGGACGCGAGUUUCUCUCCUUCCUCCGCCACCACAGCUACUUCUGCCGCCACCGCCAAACGAAGAGGGUUCAGGCGUGGGGAGGUCUUCGAGCCCAACCUCCGUCUUGGUCGGGUAAAGAUCCCAUCUUUUGACGUUGCAAUUUGGUCUAUUUGGUCUGGGUGUUGCUCAUUGAGAAGGGUCUGUGUGGAGUUGAACGGAAAAGAAAGAGAAAUAAGGUGAAAUGGGGUUUUGCUUUUGAGUUAAAGCUUGUUGCAAAGGGUUUUGGGGGGUUUGAAGGAGAAAAUUUGGUUGACUUGGUGAAGGGAUGAAGAGAUAUGUAAUGGGUAUCACCAGAGGAGAAAAAUUUUAAAUAUUUGGUGUUUUGUUGGACAGUGGUGGUUGUUGGUGAUGGCACCGGUAAAGCGGUGACAGGGGAGGACGCAAGGGUGACAGGGGAGGACGCAAGGGAGGGAGAGGGAGGGAGGAGAAGAUCUGGUUGUCGUCAGAUGUUUCUCAGUCAUGUGAGGUGGAACUAAGAUGGGAAACACGUCACUCAUUGAAUUUAAUCAUAAUAAUAAAAAUAAUUACAGCUCAACUCAAAUUAACGUCGUCUGUUACCACUUAACGGAUGGAAUACAAUGUAUUUGUAUUUUCAAAAAUUGUGACUAAAUUGAGACUGUUGCAAACUUGAGGACCAAAAUGAGAUUAGUUAACAAAUCAGAGGACCAAUAGAAGUAUUAAGCCAAAAAAUAUAUAUUUAAUGAUGAGUUGUUUAAAACAAGUAACUAUGCAUAUAAAUCUUUCUUAUCUCAUAAGUAGUUAUCUAUUUGUCCCAAAAUAGGAUAAGAUAUUAGUAUAUUAUUCUACUCACUUUUAAAUACAUACAAAAUUACACGAGUCAUUUUUCACUGGGACAAUCCUAGUUAUUUAAUGUUACUUUAAAAUUUUAAAAAAGUUGAAAAUAAAGAUAUAUAUUUGUGUAUUAUUCCUUUUAUUAUUAAUACCUAUUAUUUUCUCAAUGUAUAUAAAGAAAAAAUCAAUUUAAUUUAUUGAAAAUAGAAAUCUUUAGGAAAAAAGAAAAACAUUUAACCCUCUAAGCUUUAGUCUUUUAUGAAUUUAGGAAAUUAAUGAUGUGUUUCCUUCAAAUGAUUUACUGGUACUAUGAUUUGUAACCAUGAAUUUUCAAUGAAUUCUAUGUUUGCUUUUAUUGAUUUACGAGAUAGAUUUGCUUUUAUAAUUUCAAUUUUACUCUUAAUAUAUUAAUUGUAUUCGAUUUAAAUAGAUUCUUAACAUGAAUAUUAAUAAUAAUAAAUAAUAAUAAUAAUAUAUUAUUAUUGUUAUUAUUAUUAUUAACGUUAACUUUUUAUUUUUUAUAAAUACUUUUAUAAUUAAAUAUAAUAUUAACUUAACAUUUAUCAUUUUAUAUUAUUUUAAUAAUUAAGAUGUUUCGGUAAUCUUUAAUUUUUAUUAAUUAAACAAAUUUUUUUAUCUGUUACAUCAAUUGAAUCUUACAUUAAUUCUCACAAAUUUUAUUUCAAAUCUAUUCUAAAUUAUCCACAAAUCUAUUAAAAAAACAACAAAAAAAAUUACUUUCAAAUUUAUUCAAAUCAUCUCCCUCGAAUCAUAUUGUCCAAAUCACUACAAACCAACAAAGCAUAAAUGUUUUUUCCUUUUUUUCUUUCAGUAAUAUAGCUAUAAAAACUUCCAAAAACUCUUCUUUAACUGUAUAUGUCAUUUAGAACUCUGUAUUCUCCUGUGUAAACCAUUCAAAAUGAUUUCUUAUCAUAUUGAAUUUCAUUCAUCUUAUCCACAUGUAUUGGUAAAGUUAAUUGGUAUACUAUAUAUAUGUAUAGGUUUGGCUCCCUGGUUACACGUAAGAUUGACCUCAUUAAACAAUGUGCAGAAUUAAAGUUAUGCGGUCCUACAUGAACUAGAGUGAAGUCCUUGAUACAAAGUGUUGAUAGAUUCUUUCUUAAUUGGAUUAGAUCCUAUCUCCUAAGAAACAAAACACACGCAUCAAACCCCACAAACCAAAAACCAUGUGCCUAUUCCACUACCUCUGGUUUUGCAGACAAACUAAAACCACCGCCUGUAUUUUUCACAGCCUCUAUAUCUCACAAUAUAUUAACAACAACCUGCACCUCAUUCAUUCAUCUUCAGCUCGUUGAUAUUCUCCAUAAUCACAUUGAACAAGACACUUCAUAUACUACCUUCUUCUUACAGAAACGAUCAUUUUAUUGUAGUUUUUCAAGAGUCAAGAUGAGUUCUUCAAGCCGUGCUUGGACUUGGACCGUGGCAGCAAGUGUUGGAGUGGUGGAGGCCUUGAAGGACCAGGGCAUCUGCAGGUGGAACAGUGUUUUGAGAUCAGCNN
rnacentral:lncRNA from 1 species